GCCCUUUGAAAAUGGUUUCUAUCAAAACAAGAGAAGUCAAGACAGAAGCAGAACUGUCAUCCAGGGAACAGAACACACAACACAGUAGAGAUUCAAAAGAAAGAGACAGAAAGAAAGAGAUGAAAGAAGGAAAAGAAAGAAAGAAAGGAAGAAAAAGAAAGAUGAAAGAAAGAAAGAAAGAAGGGCAGAGAGAAAGAAAGAAAGAAAAGAAAGAAAGAAGGGAAGAGAGAAAGAAACAAAAAAAAGAAAGAAAAGAAAAGAAAAAAGAAAGGAAAAGAAAAGAAAGAAGGAAGGAGGGAAGGAAGAGAAAAAGAGUCCCAAGAUCGCAGCAAAAUGGAGUAUCUGCAUGAUGGUUGUAUCGUAGGUCUGAAGUGCACAAAGAUCCUAUUUUAGUAGAAAGUCAGAUGUCACAAGUAGUCUUGAGAGUGUAAACAUGAAGCAUGCUUGAAAAUGAGAUGAAAGCUUUGGCAAUAUGGGAAAUUUUAAAAUGAGGCAUUUUACAGAAUUUCUGGAGUUUGUGUGGUGAUUUAUUUACUUCAGUUUAUUCCCCUCCAGCUCACAUACUUAUUUUACCUUUGAAACAAGAUGAAUGUUUUAAAAAAUUCUGAGGAGCACAGCAGCUGGAAGACAAAAAUAACUUAUGGAGAAAUUUGAAAAAAGUCAUAUGGACAUACCAAUAGCCC
rnacentral:lncRNA from 1 species